rnacentral:misc_RNA from 1 species
GAAUGUGACUGAAAUGUGGGAGAAAUUAAGAGGGAAGAGACUAAUGUUUGUGGGAGACUCACUGAAUAGAGGACAGUGGAUAUCGAUGGUGUGUCUAAUGCAAUCUGUUAUUCCAGCUGAUAAGAAGUUCAUGACACCACAGGCCCACCUUUCAAUAUUUAGAGCAGAGGAAUACAAUGCCAGCAUAGAGUUUCUUUGGGCUCCACUUCUUGUCGAAUCAAAUUCUGAUGAUCCAGUUGAUCACAGACUCUCUGAACGAAUACUACGUCCAGAUUCACUUCUUAGGCAUUCAUCAGAAUGGAUGCAUGCCGAUAUAUUGGUCUUCAAUUCAUAUCUUUGGUGGAGACAGGGCCCUGUUAAGUUAUUAUGGAGUUCUGAAGAAAAUGGAGUUUGCGAGGAAAUAAAUGGUUUGGGAGGCAUGGAGUUAGCUAUGGACGCCUGGGCAAAUUGGGUGGAUUCCAAUGUUGAUCCUGCGAAGAAGGUCUUUUUUGUCACAAUGUCCCCUACACAUUUCACGAAAGGAGAAUGGGAACCAGGAAGUGAAGGAAACUGCUACAACGAGAAGCUUCCCUUGAAUGGAACAUACUGGGGCAUAGAUUCCGACUUGCCCACAAUGCAGAUGGUGGAGAGAACACUUGCUAGGUUGGGCUCAAAGGUUAACGUUCUCAACAUUACUCAGCUCUCAGAUUACAGGAAAGACGGCCACCCUUCAAUCUACCGUAAGUUUUGGGAGGCGCUGACUCCUGAGAGAUUAGCAGACCCUGCAAGUUACUCGGAUUGCAUCCAUUGGUGCUUGCCUGGUGUGCCUGAUGUAUGGAAUGAACUGCUUUUUCAGUUUUUGUGAAAAACAGGCACACUUUGUAAGUUCUUUCCCACUAUCCUGGAGAAAAGCAAAAGGAAAUUUUACCCCCUUGAACGUAUAAUGUACAUCUCAAAUGAGCAUAGCAUGUUUCGUCUGUUAGGUGUUGAAGCAAAAUCUUGAACCUCAAGGUUUAUUACGAAAUGCUUCUUCCGUUUGAGUUUGCUUUGAUAGUUUGGUGAUUCUCGAUACAAGUGUUGGUGGGAGGUAGUAUAUGUACUCGCUGAACUAGCUGGUAUACCACGAACCGUGUACAUACAUUCAUUCAUAUAUGUUGUGAGUUUUGGAAAUAUUAUAGAGGGACUAAGAUUCCUGUAAUUCUAUGCAAGUUUAAAU